UGAAAGGUGCUUGUGACUCUA
rnacentral:siRNA from 1 species